rnacentral:rRNA from 1 species
GGGCUCGCAGGCGGUUUCUUAAGUCUGAUGUGAAAGCCCCCGGCUCAACCGGGGAGGGUCAUUGGAAACUGGGAAACUUGAGUGCAGAAGAGGAGAGUGGAAUUCCACGUGUAGCGGUGAAAUGCGUAGAGAUGUGGAGGAACACCAGUGGCGAAGGCGACUCUCUGGUCUGUAACUGACGCUGAGGAGCGAAAGCGUGGGGAGCGAACAGGAUUAGAUACCCUGGUAGUCCACGCCGUAAACGAUGAGUGCUAAGUGUUAGGGGGUUUCCGCCCCUUAGUGCUGCAGCUAACGCAUUAAGCACUCCGCCUGGGGAGUACGGUCGCAAGACUGAAACUCAAAGGAAUUGACGGGGGCCCGCACAAGCGGUGGAGCAUGUGGUUUAAUUCGAAGCAACGCGAAGAACCUUACCAGGUCUUGACAUCCUCUGACAACCCUAGAGAUAGGGCUUUCCCUUCGGGGACAGAGUGACAGGUGGUGCAUGGUUGUCGUCAGCUCGUGUCGUGAGAUGUUGGGUUAAGUCCCGCAACGAGCGCAACCCUUGAUCUUAGUUGCCAGCAUUCAGUUGGGCACUCUAAGGUGACUGCCGGUGACAAACCGGAGGAAGGUGGGGAUGACGUCAAAUCAUCAUGCCCCUUAUGACCUGGGCUACACACGUGCUACAAUGGACAGAACAAAGGGCUGCAAGACCGCAAGGGUUAGCCAAUCCCAUAAAUCUGUUCUCAGUUCGGAUCGCAGUCUGCAACUCGACUGCGUGAAGCUGGAAUCGCUAGUAAUCGCGGA